GAGUGAGAAUAGACUUUAAGAGAUCAGGGGAAGAAACAAGGAGACCAGCUGGGAGGCUGUUGCAGUAGUCAGAUUUCUUGAGUAUGGGAUGUGGGAGAAGAAGGAGGAGUCAAGGUUGACUUCAAGGUUUUUGACUUCAGCAGUUGGAACGAUGGAGCUGCCAUCAACAGAGAUGGGCAAGAUUGGAGGAGAACCAGAAACAAAUCUAUCACUAUCCGGAGAACCCUAUCUAAGAGGGAACUGCUCUGAAGAUAUUCAAUCCCCAAGGGUUUUGAAAGCAGAUGCCAGCUAUUCCAAAUGAGUCCUUGAAAGAGCUAAAUCACUUUCUGAUUUGAAGCAGCAAGUAAAAAAGUCUACACAUCUUUAAUGGAAAGUGUGUGGUUUCUAAUAACACUCCUGCUAUGUUGUGGAUGGACAGGAUGUCAGUUCCACCUGAGGCUGUAGAAGUCAAAGGGUAUUCUACAGAAAAUUGGCCCACUUGACCCAUUUGGGGUAGAUUUGAUUUCUGCCUUAGGAUUAAAACACAAAUAUCUGGAACUGAAAAGAGGGAAAAUCCAUAAAGCAAACAGUUAUUGAGUGACUUAUUUGCCAGACAGAGCGCUAGCUACUUUCCAUAUAUAUUACCUCGUUGAUCCUCACAACCACCCCACAAGGUGGAUACUGUGAAUAACAUAUCACAUAUGAAGAAAACGGCUCUGAGAGGUUAAGUCACUUGCCUGGGGUUGCAAAAGCUCAACAUUGGCAAGGAAUUGAACCUACGUCUCCCUGACUUCAGGUCCAAUUUGUUCAUUUACUUUGUUAUUGAAAUAUUGAUUCAUGAAAUAAAGUCGAUACUUGCUUUUAUGUUAGUUUCA
rnacentral:lncRNA from 1 species